CCGCCCCCUUCAUUCACACGGUAGCCGCCAGCCAGCCUCGGUUCUCCCUCUCCGCCUCUGCGCACCACCCGCCCCGGCUGCCUCGGUGAGAGACUACAGAAUGCAAGGGAAAUAGCGUUGGGUAGAGCUUUUUUGGAGUAAAGAAGAGUCCUACUUCUGAUACAUUCUUUUUGUGUCCCAGGCAGAUUUUUAAACCCAGUCUGAUGAAGCCUAAUACUUCUGUGGUUUGUAACCUACAUUCACUAUGGAAGGAAAUGAUAAAUUUCAAUAGAGAGAUUUCCCAAAGGAUAAAGUCUGCAUAAAGCUGCCUCUUUCCACAUCUCUUACCAUCUGACAGCACAUUUUCUGGGAUCUCACGUACAAGCUGUUUCCUAGGCAACCACCAUAUAGCCUGCAGAAGAGUCUGCAUGAAGAGGAAAGGGGGGGAGGGACUCUAUCAGAUUUUCACUCUUCCCCCAAUUUCCUGAGUUAAUAGCACUGCAGAUCUUUGACUUUGCAGUGGCAACACAAUCCUUAAAGGCUUAGCAAUAGGAUUGUCCUUCAACUCAAAUUAUUUUGCUGGUGGAGUCCAAAUAACAGCUCAUUUAGGAUUUUGUCUAUCACACCUCUUAGUCUGAUUAUAUUUAUAUUCACUAUCUAGCCUUCCUUUUCUUUUAGCCUCAGUCCAUAUGUUACAUUCCUCUCCCAGGUGCUAAGGGAGUUCUUUAUUAAGAUGAAACUGCCCUUCAAAGAGAUGCUGAGCCACAUCUUCCAUGAUCAGGGAGCACUGCAGAGGCCCCUUUCAUUAGCCUUAAGAGAAGAUGGCACCUAGAGUUGAAAGUGACUACCCAGUCACACAGAGGAGAGUACACACACACACACACAAAGGAUUUUUAAAGCAGGAAGGGACUCUAGAGGUCAUAGAGUUCAACCAUAAGAAUAUCUGAUGUCCAUAAACUAUUAAUUCUGUUGCAGAUCUGUUUGGUUAUUCUCCUUUAGUCUUGGGAAUGUCUUUGUAAAUAGCUGCUAGGUCUUAAAAAGGGAAGGCUUGUUUUUCCUAUGCUGCCGGGAAGAGUGUAUGAUAGUAUAACUCCUGCCCCAGAACUCAAGUUUUAGACUUGCAGGACCAAGGUUCAUUGUUGAGGCAGCUCUCCCCUACAUCAUAUCACUUUGCCUUGUUCCUCUUUCCCAAACCACCUAGUUUUUUAUCCACAGAUGUGAGUAGAAAAGUCACUAGUUCCCAUGCACACAAUGAAGGUAACGAUGUGUAAAUACUCCCCUCUAGAUUAUUCUACAACUUCCACUUCCACUCACAGGUUGGGUCCCCAGAAGGGGUGGCUGCUCUCUCAGAUUCUACAGAUAAUCCUAUGGAUAGCUUCUUCUAGCACCAUGGUUCAGGAGUCCCUAUCAGUGUGUUUCCUAUUAAUGAUAAGCCAGUAGACAUAACUAGCUUUUAGCAACAGCAUUAUCUUUAUGAAGCUAUGGUUGUCCAAGAACUACCCUUCUUCUUGAAGGCUGGGUCCUGGAUAUCUUUAGGGACUUGGCACUGCCCAGGAGAUUCCCCCUUUUCUAUCCAGGGGACUGGGCCAGUGACUACAUAUUUUUCUGAGGUUAUAUUAUUGAUGGGCCCCAUCACUGCCUCUUGUUGGCACCCCUUGAACAGCAUCAGUGAAAGCACCUGCAAUUGCAAUAUGCCUGUGUCUGUGCCUUUUCAAGGAUUUCGAAGCUUCUGGUGG